rnacentral:snRNA from 1 species
AUCGCUUCUCGGCCUUUUGGCUAAGAUCAAGUGUAGUAUCUGACAUAUGUGGAGUAGUAUUUUGGUGUAGGAUAAGUUAAGCACUACAUGAUUUGCUAUGAACCAGCAAACAGGAUUAAUCUCUA